GAUGAACGCUAGCGGCAGGCCUAACACAUGCAAGUCGAGGGGCAGCACAUAAAGUGGUUUACUACUUUUGGUGGCGACCGGCGGACGGGUGCGUAACGCGUAUGCAACCUGCCUCCAACAGGGGGAUAACGGAGAGAAAUUUCCACUAAUACCCCAUCAUAUCAGAAUCGGCAUCGGUUUUGGUUGAAAACUCCGGUGGUUGGAAGUGGGCAUGCCUUGUAUUAGAUAGUUGGUGAGGUAACGGCUCACCAAGUCAACGAUACAUAGGGGGACUGAGAAGUUAGCCCCCCACACUGGUACUGAGACACGGACCAGACUCCUACGGGAGGCAGCAGUGAGGAAUAUUGGUCAAUGGGGGCAACCCUGAACCAGCCAUGCCGCGUGCAGGAAGACGGCUCUAUGAGUUGUAAACUGCUUUUACAAGGGGAUAAAUCGGUGUACGUGUACACCGUUGAAGGUACCUUGGGAAUAAGGAUCGGCUAACUCCGUGCCAGCCGCCGCAGUAA
rnacentral:rRNA from 1 species